UACCGUGAAACUGCGAAUGGCUCAUUAAAUCAGUUAUCGUUUAUUUGAUAGUACCUUACUACUUGGAUAACCGUGGUAAUUCUAGAGCUAAUACAUGCUAAAAACCCCGACUUCGGGAGGGGUGUAUUUAUUAGAUAAAAAACCAAUGCCCUUCGGGGCUCCUUGGUGAUUCAUAAUAACUUCUCAGAUCGCAUGGCCUUGCGCCGGCGACGGUUCAUUCAAAUUUCUGCCCUAUCAACUUUCGAUGGUAAGGUAUUGGCUUACCAUGGUUUCAACGGGUAACGGGGAAUUAGGGUUCGAUUCCGGAGAGGGAGCCUGAGAAACGGCUACCACAUCCAAGGAAGGCAGCAGGCGCGCAAAUUACCCAAUCCCGACACGGGGAGGUAGUGACAAUAAAUACUGAUACAGGGCUCUUUAGGGUCUUGUAAUUGGAAUGAGUACAAUUUAAACCUCUUAACGAGGAACAAUUGGAGGGCAAGUCUGGUGCCAGCAGCCGCGGUAAUUCCAGCUCCAAUAGCGUAUAUUAAAGUUGUUGCAGUUAAAAAGCUCGUAGUUGAACCUUUGGCCUGGCUGGCGGGUCCGCCUCACCGCGUGCACUCGUCCGGCCGGGCCUUUUCUUCUGGAGAACCGCAUGCCCUUCACUGGGUGUGUUGGGGACCAGGACUUUUACUUUGAAAAAAUUAGAGUGUUCAAAGCAGGCCUUUGCUCGAAUACGUUAGCAUGGAAUAAUAGAAUAGGACGUGCGGUCCUAUUUUGUUGGUUUCUAGGACCGCCGUAAUGAUUAAUAGGGACAGUCGGGGGCAUCAGUAUUCAAUUGUCAGAGGUGAAAUUCUUGGAUUUAUUGAAGACUAACUACUGCGAAAGCAUUUGCCAAGGAUGUUUUCAUUAAUCAGUGAACGAAAGUUAGGGGAUCGAAGACGAUCAGAUACCGUCGUAGUCUUAACCAUAAACUAUGCCGACUAGGGAUCGGGCGGUGUUAUUAUUUUGACUCGCUCGGCACCUUACGAGAAAUCAAAGUGUUUGGGUUCUGGGGGGAGUAUGGUCGCA
rnacentral:rRNA from 1 species